rnacentral:tRNA from 1 species
GGGCUGUGAGCUGGUCGCAGGAUAGCGUCUGCCUGAAGAGCAGAAGAACGUGGUGCAAGCCCACGACAGCCCACCA